UAUACGGAGAGUUUGAUUCUGGCUCAGAAUGAACGCUGGCGGCGUGGAUAAGACAUGCAAGUCGAACGGAGAAUAACAUUAGUUUACUAAAGUUAUUCUUAGUGGCGGACGGGUUAGUAACACGUGAGCAACUUACCUCAGAGUGGGGGAUAGCCUUCCGAAAGGGAGAUUAAUACCGCAUACGGUCUACGGACUAAAGCUAGCUUCGGCUGGUGCUUUGAGAUAGGCUCGCGUCCUAUCAGUUAGUUGGUGAGGUAAUGGCUCACCAAGACUACGACGGGUAGCUGUUCUGAGAGGAAGAUCAGCAACACUGGAACUGAGACACGGUCCAGACACCUACGGGUGGCAGCAGUCGAGAAUCAUUCACAAUGGACGCAAGUCUGAUGGUGCAACGCCGCGUGGAGGAUGAAGGCCCUAGGGUCGUAAACUCCUGUCAUAGCAGAGUAAGGCAUAUUAGUUAAUAGCUAGUAUGUUUGAUAGUAUGCUAAGAGGAAGGGACGGCUAACUUCGUGCCAGCAGCCGCGGUAAUACGAAGGUCCCGAGCGUUAUUCGGAAUCACUGGGCGUAAAGGGAGCGUAGGCUGCGCGGUAAGUCAGAUGUGAAAUCUGGAGGCUCAACCUCCAAACUGCAUUCGAUACUGCCGUGCUAGAGUAAUGGAGAGGUAACUGGAAUUCUCGGUGUAGCAGUGAAAUGCGUAGAUAUCGAGAGGAAGACCAAUGGCGAAAGCAGGUUACUGGACAUUUACUGACGCUGAGGCUCGAAGGCUAGGGUAGCGAAAGGGAUUAGAUACCCCUGUAGUCCUAGCAGUAAACGAUGUGCGCUUGGUGUGGGAGGGUUCGACCCCUUCUGUGCCGGAGCUAACGCGUUAAGCGCACCGCCUGGGGAGUACGGUCGCAAGACUAAAACUCAAAGAAAUUGACGGGGACCCGCACAAGCGGUGGAGUAUGUGGCUUAAUUCGAUGCAACGCGAAGAACCUUACCUAGGCUUGACAUGUAUCGCUAAGCUCCCGAAAAGGAGUGAGCCUUCGGGCACUUUACACAGGUGCUGCAUGGCCGUCGUCAGCUCGUGUCGUGAGAUGUUCGGUUAAGUCCGGCAACGAGCGCAACCCCUGUGAAUAGUUACCAGCACGUAAUGGUGGGGACUCUAUUCAGACUGCCCAGAUCAACUGGGAGGAAGGUGGGGAUGACGUCAGGUCAGUAUGGCCCUUACGCCUAGGGCUGCACACGUACUACAAUGCUCAGUACAAUGAGAACCGAUACCGCGAGGUGGAGGAAAUCUACAAAACUGGGCUCAGUUCGGAUUGGAGGCUGCAACUCGCCUCCAUGAAGUCGGAAUCGCUAGUAAUGGCACAUCAGCUACGGUGCCGUGAAUACGUUCCCGGGUCUUGUACACACCGCCCGUCACAUCAUGGAAGCCGAUCGCACCCGAAGUGCCUGCGUCAACAAUGGCAGGGUCCUAAGGUGUAGUUGGUAACUGGGAUGAAGUCGUAACAAGGUAGCCGUAGGGGAACCUGCGGCUGGAUCACCUCCUUU
rnacentral:rRNA from 1 species